UUGUCCCAUCCACCACUCUGUACAGUGAUUCUGGAAUUUGCUAUUUGAUACGAGCAAAUGAAGAGAUGGAAGGGGCUGUUCACCACUCAGGCUGCAAGCAAGCCUGUCGUGCCCAUCUGCAAAGAGGACUCCUUGUGUGCCUCCAAAAUGGCCUUGUCGUUAACUUGAUCUGCUUGGACUGAUUGCAAACAGUGGCUUAGCUUCCUCUAGACCAGAGGACAUUCUGUGCUCCCAAAACAGAAUGCUACACAUGGGAACAAGGGAAAGGGAGGCUUUGAGAGGUCAGCCAGCAAGGUCCCUGCUUCAAGCCUAAAACCAGUGUAAUUAGGUGAAGAUUCAGCAGGAUAAGGCUUUGCGAGGAAUAUCCCUAGCAUGUCAAGGUGAUCGCAGCAUUGCAAGUUCUCCCCCGAGGCGCAGAGCCCAGAAGAAAUCAUCAUGGAAUGAAAAGAGUCAAGGUUGGAGCCCCCAGAGAACUUAGCAAGAAUGCCAAGUACAUCAUGCUAUCUCCUCCCGCCUCCAUGCUGGCGCAUAUGCCGCCCUUCCUCCCUGGAAUGCCCUCAUCUUCCAGAGGCUGCUCCAUUUCAGAGCCUUCCCUGAUUCAUCCAGGCAAAUUAACAGAUAAUAACUGUUUUAUCUACUAAAUAUUAAACUCUCUCAAGGCAGGGUC